UACAGAGGGGGCAAGCGUUGUUCGGAAUUACUGGGCGUAAAGGGCGCGUAGGCGGCCUUCUAAGUCGAACGUGAAAUCCCCGGGCUCAACCCGGGAACUGCGUCCGAUACUGGAAGGCUUGAAUCCGGGAGAGGGAUGCGGAAUUCCAGGUGUAGCGGUGAAAUGCGUAGAUAUCAGGAGGAACACCGGUGGCGAAGGCGGGUCUCUGGGCAACAACUGACGCUGAGGAGCGAAAGCGUGGGGAGCGAACAGG
rnacentral:rRNA from 1 species